GGCCGGAGUUUAAGAUCUUUUACAUAAAAGAAGUUUCAUAAUCACAAGCUGUGAAAAGGGAGAGAAUGUCUACCUCCCAUAGGUACUUUUACCAUGAAUUUCCUGACCUUGAUUUGAUUAAAACCUCAACCUAAAGAUUGCAACAAUUUAGAUGUCUUUAGAGUUUAAUUGUUCAUUUCACUUUGAAAAACAAAAAAAGACCCAAGGUGGGGCAAGAAGGGUGGCAGAACGGAAGGAGAAGCUAAGGACUGAGUUGCUUUGCAGAGCAGUGUUUGAAAGUGAACAGCCAAUUUAACAAGAAGCAAAACCACAAAGACUCUGCUCACUUUGUUUCACAGAAUCAUUCAGGCUCUUCCUACUGUCUUCUCCCUGGUGUUCUCCUCUUUAAUUCUCAGAUGCUGCUGGGGUAGAUAACCUGAUCCAUCUCUGAGGAAUUCAGGGGAGAAAAGAAGCCUUCUGCUUGAGCUGUUCUUCUGUCACUGAUACACAGGGGAAUGAAGACAUCGCCAGCCAUGUGUAGAAUUGGGAAAUUAUUUGGGAUCCUUUUCCUAAUCCCACAUCUGGGCUUCUGGAGCAUCCAUGGUAAGGUACCUAUUUAGAUUAUUUCUGGUUUUAUUUCUCAGGGGAAUAUGGAUGUAAUGUAUUCCCCUGUUGAACUUAGCAGUGUAUGAUGUUUAUGCCAACUGGGUAAUAGUAGAUGAAACGAUUUGCUCCCUGAUGACAUUAGAGAAUGUAAACCAAAUUAGAGCCUGGUACUCACCUGCUUAAAUAGUAAACACCAAAUUCACAGCUUGGCCAGUUUUCUUAAAAACAUGUGCUAAUGGUAAGAGAAAAAAAUUGGUUAGGUGCUAUACAUAGUUAAGUACAAAUUUAUCACUACUAUUACCAAAAACUUUUUGACUACCAUACUGAUAGUGAAUUAAUAGCACUUUAAAUAUAUAUUUCAGUUUGAUGAACAUUUCUUUCUUUCUUUCUUUCUUUUUCUUUCUUUCUUUCGCUGAGAAUUGAACCCAGUGCCUCACAUAUGCUAGGCAAGUGCUCUAUCACUGAGCUACAACCCCCCCCACCCCCCACCCCCACCCCCCACCCCCACCCCCAAAUAGCAUGAUCUUUCCAAACUGAUUCCAGAAAAAUAUUGUAGAGUUCAUUUGGGUAGUUGGGUAGGAUAGGUGCUGGAUAAUUGAAAUUAAAUCUGUCUCCUUGGUUACUCUUAAGUAGUAUUUUUCUCUAAAUAAAAUCUUGGUACUUGCUUCGGUGAUGUGUGUGCCUUGAGAAUAUUGACUGAGCAAAUGCUGGGAAACAGGAGCAGAGCCUUCCACAGAGCUUCUACUUUGUUGGAAGGGAAUGAUUCCUACAUGGUUGUUAGCUGAACAUUGAAAGUGUUUGAGUUCUGUAUAGAUGAUGUUUGGCCAGCUCUAAAAAGACUUUGGGUACAUGAAAAAGGUCAUUCCUUCUCUAUUUUGAGGUCUCUUUCUCCUGUACAUUGACACGGGGACCACAAGUUGUACAGGGCCUAUGAGUGGUUAGACAAAGUUUCUAAUUGCUCAGUUAACUCUCCUUUGCACACAGCACACAUUUAUCAGCUUGUGUGUUUCUGUUUUAAACUAGAAAAUAUGAUCAUUGCAGUCCUACAGAAUGUCAUCUUUAGUUCUAAAACUGUUUAGCUUGGAAUUUGACUCUAAGAUGCCAGGAUGCCACAGUAAAAAUCUCCUUGGUCACUAAAGUGUCUAAGUGUUGAGUCCAGUAGGUUCUUAGCUAUUUGGCUGAAUUUUUUGGCUUCCAUCGGAUGCCUGCAAUCACAUAGCUACAGUCAGAGACAAAUAGUAAACAAAAUUCAUCCUAAAGGAUUUAUUAUAUAUUCUUUGUGAAAGAAAAUAAAAUAUUUUCAGUGCUUUACUACAGUUGGGGUGCCAUAUGACUUCCGUUCUUCCUCUCAGUGUAUUGUAACUUAGUGCUUAUAAAAAUAGACCCAGCUAUUAGAAUUGUGUUCACUUACUCACUCUGCCAGUUACUGUGCGAUCUUGGUUAAGUUUCUUAUCUGCUCUCAUUUUUACUUUUCUCAUUUGUAAAAUAGAGAUGAUAAUUGUGCCCAAGUUGUGGGCCUAUAGUAAUUUUAAGUGCAAUAAUACAGGUAAAGUAUUGAAUACUAAGUACACAUAACCAAAGCUUGAUAAAUCUUAGCGGUAUUUUUGCUAAUAGUACUUACUGCCAAGAAACUCCCGUAAAAUCCAGUUAAAUGAGAUGUAAAGUUUAACAUUAUUAUAUCGUUACAAUGCAGUGCAACAGAUCGCUAAACCUUUUUCUCCUAACUUGAACUCUGUACCUGUGACCAACAUCUCCCAAUACUUGAGUUAUUAAAGUUAAAAUGAAUAAGUAAAAUAUAUUGUACAAUAUAUUUAGCCCAGAAUGUAGUGAAUCAAAUCAUUUGGAAAAUGAAAGGGAAAGGCUUGGACCAAGUACUGACCAAUUAUCUUAUAUAAAAGUUAAUAUAAUUGAUUUUAUCACUAUUCAUAUUAAAUUAAGAAUAUAGGUUGAGAUAAGAACAUCAAGUGGGGGUGUAGCUCAGAGGCAGAGCAAAGAGUUUAAAGAUAAUUUAAAAAUGUUUUCCCUCACUUCAAAACAACCUGAGACCCAUGUGCUUCUUCCCAGUAUAAGGUCCUUGCUUAGCAUCUGGAUGGCCAUCUUAAAUGACAGCCCCCAUUUUAAGAAAGAUUUCACUUUCCUGCCCAAGGGCCUUUCUGAGAGAGGCUCACACCAACUCCACCCUUAACCACCCCCAUUAGGGCUCGCCCAGCUCUAAUCCCUGAGCUUGCCUCAUAAAAGUCCUAAACCCCAAGCCUGUUUUGCCUCUCUCCAUCUAUGGAGAGAUGUGCUUUUAUUUGUCAGCUCUGACCAAUAAACUCUCGCGUGUAUCUCUGCCUUGUCUCUGUCUUCCUUCUCUCGCUUGCCUGUCUUCUGGUUCCUCACUUUCCUUUCAUUGGUGCCAAAACCCAGGAUUGGGUUCCCUGGUGUGCCCAUUCCUCUCUUAAAGGGUCACUGACUGCCUCCGGGCCCCUAUCUGAAUUCCAUUAUGGGAGCAGGCCCUCCAUUCUGCCAAAUACCCUCUCUGCACCCACCACUAUUUCAGGUAAGACCCCUGUCUCUGGUCAACCUAAACAACCUACAGGUCCCUGGAAGUGACUGUUGAUCUUUCGUUUGGCACUCCCAGGGUUACCGUGUGGUCAGGGCACCCACAGCCACAGCUUUUACAGCUGUGGCUGAUCCCUACUGUUGACAGAGUCUAUAGGUGGUCUUUUAUUUGGGUCUUGGGUUUUGAAAAAAACCACCAAGGGUGAUUGGGAGUUGUUCCUGGUGAGACUAUCUCUUGGCCUUGGUUUAAUCUCUAUGGUUUUUGCCCCUAUGUAGUCCCAGCCAGGUGCCCAAGUACUUCUACAGGUCCUGCCUCUGACGCUUACCCAGCAGUGGUGACAACCCCCUGAGCAUAACCAGUCCUCUUGACUAGGUGACACUAGAGACUGGGCGACGCCCAACUCUAAACUCACCUCCUGUAUCUCACCAUGGGCGGCUCCUCAUUCAUUCCUUCCCAUAGUCCUCUAGGCUGCCUCCUGGCUAACCUAGGGUCUCUCUCUCUCACCCUGGACCUAAACCCUAAAAACUUAUUCAUUUGUGCAAUCAGAUCUGUCCUCAAUACCCUUUGGACUCUAAAUGGCCUCUUAAUGGCCCUCUAGAUCCCAAUAUAUCAGGGAUCUUUUAAACUAUUGUGAACAUUCGGUAAAAUGGAAAGAGAUAUCAUUCGUUCAGGCUUUCUCCUCUUUGUUCUAAGCCCUCUCUCUGCAACUCUUGCUCUCCUGCACAAGUUCUCUUAGCUCUCUCCUUCCCUAUGCCUGAUUCCAAGGGGACAAAAGAUUCUACCCAGGACUCCUCCUUAGACCCAGCAGAUGAGCUCCCGCCACACCAUAAUUCUCUUUCUAAUGAAGCCUCUGUAGCAACUGUCCCCUCGGCCCCUCCACCUUUGAUGUCCUCCUGCCUGAGGAGCCCAGGCAAGUUUGGGAGCAAGCUAGAAAUUAUGCAGAUGAGGUACAUCAGACUUCCCCUGCCCAUCCAAUUGGCUUUGAAGCAGUUCCUGAUUGGGACCCCAAUUGGGAUUACAAUUUGCCUGGAGGAGUAACUAGUAGAAAGGAAUUCAUUACUUGCCUCAUGGCAGGACUUAGCAAGGCAGCCCAUAAGGCUAUCAAUUAUGAAAAGCUCCAGGAAGUCAUCCAAGAUAAAAAUGAAAACCUUCAGCAUUUUUAGACCGCCUGACCAAGGCUUUAUUACAAUAUACUAAUCUGACCCUGACACUCCAGUUGGGAGACAACUACUAAUGGUCUACUUUUUCUCCUAGAGUUUCUCCAAUAUUAAAGCCUCACUAAGGUGCCCCAAGAGGGGACACCUAACUCCCCAAGCUGAGGUUCUGGGAGUAGCCUUUAAGGUGUAUAACAGAACAGGAAAGACGAGAAGGCCUGGAAGCAGAAAUAUUAGAUGUUCACUCAAGUCACCUGGCUGGCUUCAGCAUCUUUCCCUGGUUCCACUGGCCCAUGGAAGAGUCCCUCAGGACUGCCCAGACCCUGUUUUAAAUGUGGUCAGUGGGUUACUGGGCUUGUUCAUGUCUCAAGCCUCGAAAGCCUCUGGGCUCUUGUCCUAAAUGCCAUCAGGAGGGACAAUGGGCCGUUGACUGUCCCCAAGUCCAUAGAAGCCCCCAGCUAUCCAGCCCUUUUAGCUCUCCUUUCCAAAUCUUAGAACUGGCUACAGAGGACUGACGAGGCCCAGGUCCCCAUCACCCAACCACUACCAUCACUCCAUGGGAACCUAGGGUAACUCUGCGUAUUUCAGGUAGACCUGUCUCCUUCCUUCUAUACCCCGGGAGAUACAUAUUCAGUCCUCAAGGAGUUCUAGGGGCCUACUACCAACCCUUACAGACACCCAGCCUUGUUAGUGCUUUUGGCUCUCUAAUUUUUACCCACUCCUUUUUGGUUAUUCCACAGUGCCCUGUUCCCUUUAUAGGAAGGGACAUCCUCACAAACUUGGUGGCUACGCUUUCCUUCUCCCCUCAUAUAUGCUUCCAUCCAAACUCACCUGCUGCUCCCCUGAUCCUCACCCUUACCUUAGGACCAUCCCCUAUUCCAUCUGCCAGUGCAUUCCCAUUACCCCCUUCCAAGGUGGACCCUACCAUCUGGGAUGUUUCCAGUCCUUCUAUCUCCUCACACCGUGAGUCCAUUCACAUCUGUCUCAAAAGCCCUCUCCAUUUUCUGACCCAGUCACAAUACCCGCUCUCCCUCCUUGCUGCUGCUGUCCCUCUUUUUGCAGAGCAGCCUUGUCAGGCUUCUGACAGUAAACCCACUUCUUAUCCCAGGUGUGUGAUUAGUCCUGAGCCACUUUUCUUUCAUUGAUGCCAGUGACUUCAUUACAUGCUCCUAUCAGCUUUGUUCUCCUCCCCGGGGAUUUGAGCUGCUUUGGGAUCCUGGCCUGAGGGCCCAGGACAAUUACUACACACCUUCUUCCAUUCACCUGUUGCUCUUCUCUAUCCACACUCCAGCCUCAUUUGGGUAAAUGACUUCACCCUUCCCCUCCCCUGCUCCUCACAACUCUACAAGUCUCCUCUCUAGAACUUAGAUCUUGGUCCAGCACCAAGAUUCUCACCCAUCUCUUCCCCUGGGUGAGUUCACUCCAACUCGCCAUGGGAAACUCCCAAUUUCUUCCCCUUGGAGAGUUCACUCUUGGGUCUUGGUUCUCAGCUCCUUAGCAGAGCUCAUGAAAGCCCUGGCCAGGCAACCAAGACUCCCUAUAGGCAAAGCCCAGGACUAUGGAAGUAGUGGGUGAUUCCCUUCUCUCAGUUCCAGACUCCAACUCGUCAUGGGGAACUUCCAAAUCCCAUCUGACUCACCUCUUGGCUGCCUCCUUACCCACUUAGUCCCACUCCGUUUGGCUCCUGAUCUAAAGUCCCAUCCACCAAUUCAACCUUCCAAUCUUUACAACUUUUGUGAGCGCUCAGGAAAAUGGAAGAAAAUCCCUUAUGUGUGAGCUUUCUCCUUUCUCCAUUCUAAGCCUUCCCUUUGCUCUUCUUGCUCCUCUGCCCAGCUUCUACUUGCCACUAAAACUCUGGAUUCCUCCAGAGGCCCUACUUCUAGACAAACAAGAGACCCAGAACUCUCCUAAUCUGAGGGUCUUGAAUCUACUUGCCUACAAAUGUUGGCUACAGCCUCUUGACUCAUUAAUGAGUCAAAAAAAAAAAUUCACCUUUGGGGCCCCAUUUAUCAUCCUGGCUCCCCAUCACCUAAAGGAACUCCUUACCUACAAGGGCUUACAUUCCUUACCUCCCUGUUGCCUUUUAUCUCUACAGGAUUCCCUGGUAGAAGAUCCCAGUCUUACUUUCCACACGUGCUCACCUUUAAAUUCUGCUACUCUCCUCCCAGUUCCUCAGGAAUCUUCCAAUUCUUCUCUUCUUUACCCAUUCAUGCAUUGAAACUCUGGAGGAGUUUCUUCCAUAUCCCUCCCACCUAUAGGAAGGCCCCUUACUCCGUACAAUAUACAGAUGGUUCACAGAUGGCUCCUCCUUCCUUUAGGAAGGAGUUCAUUGGGCAGGGUAUGCCAUAGUCUCCCUAACCUUGGUUGCGGAAGUGGCUCCCAUCCCCCAUAAUGCAUUCAAUUAGCAGGCUGAACUUGUUGCCUUCAUCAGAGCUUUCACUGUGGCAAAGGGACCCUCCCUCAAUGUCUAUGCUGACUCUAAAUACGCUUUCCACAUACUUCUCUCCCAUUCUGCUAUUUGGAAGGAGCAUGGAUUCCUUACCACCAAGCGAACUUCAAUUACUAAUGCCCCCUUUAUCUCCAAUAUCCUUCAGACCUUAAAGCUUCCCAUUGCCAUUGGAACUGAAGGAUGGCAGCUAAGUAACCCCCUUCUUCAGUGGGCACUUCCUUUUCUGACCUCUCUCCUUGUCAUAGGCCUUUUGCUAAUGCUUGUCCCCUGCAUCAUUAGAUUUAUUCAAGACCAUAUUCAAAGGAUCUCUAACCAAACUGUGAACCAGCUUCUGUUAUAGGGCUUCCAACCCCUCACCAAAAUUGGGCCCUCUGGAGUCAGCAUCACCUGGCGCCACCUGACCAUCACCAUUGCCUCAAUGGCACCCAACACCCCUAACAAGGGUCCAGAUGCUGCCCCUUCCCAGCAGGAAGAAGCUAUGGAAGAUUAGAUCUAUGCCGCUGUUCCUUAAGGGGCCCAAUACAAAGAAAAAAUGUCCUUGCUUAGCACCUGGGAUGGCCAUCUUAAAUGACAGCCACCAUUUUAAGAAAAAUUUCACUUUCCCUCCCAAGGGCCUUUCUGAGGAAGGCUCACAACUCCCUCAUACCAACCCUACCUUUUACCACCCACAUUAGGAGCCGCCCAUCUCUAAUCUCUGAGCCUGCCCCAUAAAAGUCCUGAACCCCAGCCUGUUUUGCCUCUCUCUGUCUAUGGAGAGAUGUGCCUUUAUUUGUCAGCUCUGACCAAUAAACUCUCGCAUGUAUCUCUGCCUGGUCUCUGUCUUCCAUUUCUCGCUUGCCCGUCUUCCCAUUCCUCACUUUCCUUUCACCCAGGAGUUACUCUGAAUCUAUAAUAAGGUUGAAAAAAAUAUAAUAUUUUAUACAAACUCCAUGUUUAAAGUCCUUCUUUAACACAAAAUUAUGCUUGCUUGCUUUUUUUUCUUCUCUAUUUAUCAAAAACAUACAGGGAAACCUGUCCUUCAGUGCUUCAGUGUCAGGUGAUUUCUGUCCUCAUGAAAGUAAUAAAAGUACCAACCCCUUCUCAGGCUGACAAGACCUAGGCUGCAGGUGGAAGUUGUUCUUUCUGCUGUAAGUCCCUGGACCACUUGUUUAGUUGAGGAUCAACUGAGGAUUCCACCUUCAGUCAGGCAGGAGUACUACAAUUAAUGUCUGGACACUGACAGUGUGUAUGAGCUGGAAUAAAGGCAAUUGGAAAUCUUUGUUCACUGGUUAUUGUGAUACUAAAGAAUCCUAAUCUGGCCCAAUAAGGCUGUUUGGAAAACAAAAGUGGUUAGGGUCAUGUCUCCAUUUGUUUUUUGACUGUGCCCAAUUCUUAUUAUGAGGGUUCAGUAUGGUUCAUGGAUCUACUUUUAAAUGCCAUACUCCACAUCCCAUCCAGAUAUGUUGCUCCAUUAUGUACCAGCUGUGUCCUUGAAUCAGAGCAGGCCCACUAGGGCAGAUAACCAGUAGUCUGCAACCAGUAUUGCUUGAAGUUCAAGUAUUGUAGCACAGCAUCUGUAUCAGGCUUAUUUAUUUAUAUGGCUGUUGUAUUUGUUCCUGUUGAAAUGCGCAUAUGAAAUAUUAGAGAUAGAGUCAUGUCUUCUACUAAAUGCCAAAUACUUAUGUGCUGUCAUCACAGAAAUGCCCACCAUUUAUGCAAAUGUCUAGAAAUUCAUUCUGCAUUUUCAGGAUUUCCUGGAUUAGGGCAUGAACAAAUUAACCCCUGUGCUGAUUACAGCCUUGAAUUGACUCCCUAACAAUGAGGGGCUCUUCAAUUUAUUAUUGCUUCCUUCAUCCAACUAUAAAAAUUUCCUCCAUUUUAAUGAUGAAAUCAAAAGCUAUUAUCUUGCUUCCUUGGGACUUUCUACUUAAUUUCCAUUACUGGUGAGUUUUGUUAUACUUAGAGUUCUGAAAACAGCUUAUCUUCUUGUAUACUCAAUUUCCUCAUCUUAAAAAUAAAAAUAAUAAUAACAAUCAUUGUGAGGAUAAAAAUAAAAUAUAUAUAGAUGGUCCUUGAUUUAGAAUGACUCAACUUAAAAAUUUUUAACUUUACAAUAAUGCAAAAGUGAUAUGCCUAAAAGUGGCUAACAUGAAAUAAGAACUUAAAUGUAUUAGUCUUAUCCUUUUUGCCUAUUGUGGGGAUGGAUCCAGAAAGGGUCUAUCGUCCAGUGGUGAAUGAGUUGCCAUGGGCUCUUGGGCAGGUGGCAGUGAGUGUGCAGCAAUGAUUCCCAAGAUGCUCUUCCAAAUGUGACUUAGCCCAUCCAUCUGCUAUCUGACCUGAUGACGUUGAAAGACCUCUGCUUGUCCUAUUCUUAAAUAUCUCAAGGAGAGGAAAUGGCUCAGGCACUUUGUAAGCUUUGCUAAGUAUUAUCAAAAGCUACAGCAAAUGCGAAAGUGACUAUUUUUAGGUAAAACAAUUUCAGAAUUAUCUCAAACUAGAUAAAACCAUGAGGUGUAUGGUUUAAGGUCUUAGAUUGCUCUGUACAACUAGGUGGAAGAGAUAGUCUUCAAAUAUCCCCCCAAGUAGUCAUAUCAUACAGUGAGAAAUUCUAGCCUUAGAAGAAAUAGUUUGAAAGUGUGCUAAAUAAAUACCACAUGAAAGCAACUUAAAUGAUUCUUGCAUGAUUAUAAGAAGAUAAAUUUUUGAAAGAAGGGGAUUUUUAAGAGGAAAUAGUAAAUGAUAAUUAUGAAAAUUCUUUCAAUUUUCUUGUAUCAUGGCCAUUGUCUUGCAAGUACUGAGAAUAUGGAAUCAUACCAUGUGUAUUCUUGAUAUGAAGUUAAUUCUUUCCAUUUUCAUUUUUGUUAAGAGAACUUUAUAUUGUAUGAGUGUGUGUGUGUGUGUGUGUGUGCAUUUGUAUGUGCUUAGGGAGAAAAUGGCUAUCUCUGUCUAAAGACAAUAUCCAGAGAAAUUAUUCUACAGAGAACAGGAGACAAUAUUAUUCCAUGCUAUUUAUAUGUCUGUGAUCUAUAUUACAUUAAGUGCUGUUUGUCAAGAAGAUGUAUACGAAUACAUUUUCAUUUCACAGCAAUCUCAGUUUCCAUUAUAGUCCUGAGAACAAGUCACAGGGUUUUCCUUAAACUAACAAUGGUCACCUUUUAUAAUACAAGUUCUGACUUUAACAUAUUUAUGCUCAUGUCUAUUUAAAUUUCUCCAGGUAUUCCUAUCAAUUUUGGGAGUGUCUGACUUAUGCAGUAGGUUCAUUUGCCACAGUGUUAAAGUGACAUAUUUAAUAAAGGCUACAAAACAUUGAAUUAGUGGUUUCUAGAUGAUGUGGAAGUUCCUGCUCUAAUCUCAUGUCACCGCAUUCUGAUUUUGUGAAUGUAUGUCAGUAGUUUGUGACAGGAAGUAUGGCAUUUGGGCCUUCAAGUGUUACUUGUGUGAUUCCCCAAGGUGUCCAAAUUGAUGUCCUCCCAGGCUCUUUGAAGUGUGAUUACAGGUCUGCCAUCGCUGUGCAUGGAUUUCCUUGACUGUGCUCAAACCAUUGCCUGAUGUCAUCACAAAACCUCAAUUUGCUAGGGUUGAUGCAGUUAUUUUCUUCUCUGGUGGCCAUCAUCUCUCCUCCCUCUACUAUCCUACCCCACUGAAGUAAAGCAGAACAUACCACCAGCAUCACCUGGAAGCCUUUUCCUCCUGAGUGCGAACAAACUCUCCUCUGUAGUCACCCCAGCAUGUAUCUGAAGUAUUUGUUAUUUGUCUAUCAUCAUCUCUUCUGAUAGAGGCUAAAAUCUUGGCUGAUGUCCUUAAAAAUUAUUGGUCUAUUAUACCUUUAGUAAUAUUAUAGUUUUCUAAAAUAUUGUUUACAUUUCUAUGUUCAUCUCUAACACUGUCAGCUCAAAUUAAUCAUUUUGAACUUUCCUUAAAUUUUAAGAAUUUUCAAUGGAGGAACAGUGAAACUUGUUAGGAUUUUUCUAAUGAUAACAGUUAUAAUCAAAGGACAUGGUUUUUAAAAAUAAGAAAUAAUGACAUUUCACAAAAUAUGCAUAAUCACAGUCCUAAUUUAAGAACCUAGCUAAUAGUUUUCACAAAUUACUUACUCUCUUCAGCCCCUGAAAGAAUUUCUAUAUGCAAUUACACUUGCUCAGCUGGAAGUCCCUGGAUAUGUACUUGUUUAUGGCUGGCAUUCCUUUUCAAUUAACUGAUCUGUCUGGCUGUAGAGCACCACAUACUAAACAGUUUAAAUAUCACCCACAAGUGGACAUAAAUCAGAUCUUCCCACAUACUUGCAAAAUCUAGUUUUUCUUCAGUGGUUAUGAAUUAACCACUACAGGGUAUUUUGAUGUGCAUAUAGUACCACCUCAAUGCCUUUUGAUUGAGCUCUUAAAGGACUUAGCUGUGUCUGUGUCUUAAGACAAAGGAACAUUUAGAGCUAUAAACAGGGGAUUCUUCACUUCAUCAAGCUUUCUUUUUAGUCUCAGGACACAUCAUGCUUUCUCACCUUCAUACUUUCCUAAGGCUACUUACUUCUACAGAGAUGGGUACCAUAGGAUCAAGGUCAUGGUUAACUAGACAGAGGGCAAAUGCUUCAACACAGAGGUAGUUGAAAUAGAAUGAUGUGUGGCACGCUGAAUAGCAUGGGACCAUUCUUUAGGGAGGGGGGGUGGUAUUAAUUGUGAAAAUAGGAAAAGGACCAAGUAUACCUGGAGGUGGGGUUGGGAGUGGGAGAAGGUUCAUUUUCCUCCAUGAGGCCUUCCUGAUUGGCCUAGUCAGAAAGAUUCCCUCCCUCUUAGGGAUCUGAAAACUCUCAGAGAUUAUAAUCAUAUUCAAAAUAAAUAAAAAUCUAGCUGCACAAUUGAAGAGCCACAUAAGCAACUUUCGGUCUCAUCUUUGCACUAGAAACCAUCAUUCCUAAAUUGCCACAGGCGUAUCUAUGUUCCCACAGUCUAUCUAGUAUCUUACAGCACUAGUAAUUCUGAACAACGUCAGGAGUUGAACACUGCUCCCGUAAUAUUUGGUCUAAGUUUUAAGUGAUUAAUGUGUUACUGUUGAGUGUUAAUAAUAUGUAUGCGAUCUUCACAUUAAUGUGUUUAUAGUUCUGACUCUCCAAUAAAUGCUACCUUCUACAUGCAAGUUAACUCCAAGAACUUCCCACUUAGAAUUGGCCCUGGACACAUACAAAUUCAGCUACUUUUUUUCAUUUCCAGAAUAAAUUUACAAUAUUCCGAAUCACUCUCCAGUGCUCCAGGUCCAUUCUAGAGUCACAGUGGCUGUGGUACUACAUGUUCCUGCCUCUCAGCUGUCCUCUUUAAAUGAACACCACAAUGAUUAUAGAGAUGAAGAAGCACAACAGACGCUGUUUCAUUUCUGUCACUAUAUGCAAUUGUGUUGAAUAUUUAUUGUCUUUGAAGUUUUAAAACAACAAAACAGAGCACAGAGUGUAGGUGUGAUGUUUUUAUUUGGUGACCUAGCUCAUACAACAAAUGUUUGAUUAAUAUCUUUAAAAUUGAAAUGAACACUAUUUAAAGGGCUUAAUUGUUUUGAAACUACAGAAUGAAGCAAGAAAAACACUUUGUAUUAGUGGUAAAAUUUAGCAGUUGCCUAAAUUGUACUUUACAGAAUUUCAGUUUCAAUAAAGGUUCAAUCAUUAGUUUAAUGAAAUUCACCUAUGAAUUAGUGGACAUUUAUUUUGUACAUUAUUACCACAGCAUGUAACUAAGGAUCAAAGUUCAAUCAUUGCUCAAAUAAUUGAACAAAUAGUUAUGCAUUUUUUUUAUUUUUUCUAUUCUACUAUUUUUCAAAUAUUUGCUAAACUUAUUAGUUGUAUAUGUAAAAUUCAAUGCAAAAAAUAUUUAUAGUUUGUAUUUCUUUUCUGGCCAUUAUAUUGUCUCAUUUUAUGAUCAUUUCUGAAAAUACUUUUCCAUGUAGAGGUAAAGGUUGUUCAAAAUGAGUUGUGCUAGACUUCAGAUGUGCUACAUACUGUGAUAAUACCCCUGUGGUUUUCUUAAGAAUUUUAAAAAUAAGAGGCUUCCCAAAUCUAUAGUUACUUAAAAAGCAACUAUUAUAUUUUAUCAGAUGAAAACCUAGAGGUGGUAGAUACUUUUAACCUCACGCUGCAUUUUAAUUAUUUUAGCAUUAAAAAUUCCCUAUUACCAGAUAUGAAUGUUUGAAAAAAACAGCAGAAACACUAACAGUAGUAACAAAAAUUAACUGAUAGUUGGCAGAUAAGUCACAGCUCAAAGCAACUAUGAUUGUCUUUUCCCUUCAGAAAAUGUUUUCCCCUUGAGGAAAGCUUUGUGUGUCUUGCGUGUAUUAAGGUAGAGUUUCAUAAUUCAAGACAGACAAAAAAACUUGUCAACAUACCUGUAGGUUCAAUGGUGUUUUAUUGAGAUAAGAUUCAUAUAGCAUAUUAUUCACCACUUCAAAGUGUACAAUUCAGUGGUUUUUAGUGUAUUCAAAACAUGGUGCACUUAUCUCCACCAUCUUAUCCCAGAACAUUUCCAUCACCUCAAAGAAACCAUACUGGUUAAGUUGUUCCCAGUUCCCUCCCUUUCCCCAUCUUCUAGAGACCACUAAUGUACUUUCUGUCUCCAUGGAUUGUCUGUCUGGAGUAUUUAAUAGAAAUAGGAUCAUACAACAUGUGAUCUUUUGUAUCUGGCUUAUUUUACUUAACAUAAUAUUUUCAAGGUUCAUUUAUGUUGUAGUAUGAAUAAAUAUUUCGUUUCUUUUUAUGGAUGAAUAAUAUUCCAUUGUUUGGAAAUACCACUUUUGUUUAUACAUUUAUCAGUUGAUGGACAUUCAGGUUACUCCGUUUUUUUUUUUUUUUACUAUUAUGAAUAUAGUUACAAUUAACGCUAUUAUACAAGACACUGUAGGUACACACAUUGUUACUCCUAUUGGGGUAUACCUAAGAAUAGAAUUGCUGAGUCCUAGGAUAACUAUAAUGCUUAGCUUUUUGAGGAACUACCAAACUGUUUUCCACACCAACUGCGUCAUUUUGUAUUUCGCUCAGCAGUGUAUAAGCAUUCAAAUUUUUCCACAUUCCCACAAACACCUGUUGUUUUCUGAAGUUUUAUUAUUAUUACACUUAUUCUAGGAUGUGUAAAUUGGUAUCUCAUUGUGACUUUCAUUUGUACUUCUCUGGCAAAUAAUGAUAUUAAACAGCUUUUUUUUUUUUUUUUUUUGGCACUUGGGAUCGAAGCCAGGCCACUUUACUAUUGAGCUACAUCUCCAAUCCUUUUAGUUGUGAGAAAGGGUCUUGCUAACUUGCUGAGGCUGGCCUUGAAUCUGUGAUCCUCCUGCCUCAGACUCCCAAGUCAUUGAGAUUACAGGCAUGUACUAUGGUGCCCAGGGUUGAACAUCUUUUCAUAUAUGUAUUUGGCCAUUUGUAUAUACCCUUAGGAGAAAUAUCUACUCAAACUCUUUGCCCUUUCUUUAAUGGGUGAUUUACCUUGUAUUAUGGAGCUGUGAGAGUUCUUUAUACACUCUAACUCUUAGACUCUUACACAUAAAUAAUUGCAAAUAUUUUCUCUCAUUCUGUGAGUUUUGUUCCUUCCUUCCUUUUUUUUUUCCUGGAGAUGGAACCCAAGGGCACUCUACCAUGAAGCUACAUCCCCAGUAUUUAUUUUUUUGAGACAGAGCUUCACUGAUUUGCCUGGGUUGACCUCCUGCUUCCCAGUUGCUGGGAUUACAGGAGUGCACCACUGCACCUAGCUUCCUUUUGGCUUCUUGAUGGUGUCCUUGAAGACCUCAGGUCAUUUUCUUUGAUAUAAUAGCUUGUUUUAUUGUGUUUUUUUUUUUUUUUUUUUUGCUUAUUACAAAAACAUGUUCACUUAACCUUUUGACCAUUAAGGUAAAUUCAGGAUACAGAUCCGAGAUUCUUUAUCCCCUGAGAGCUUCCUAGGAAGAGCUAAGGAGCAGUCCUCCUUUGAGAUCUGGCCACCCACAUAUCCUGAAAAAUUAGAAUUGUUACAUUUGGUUCAGUGGAUCCUUUUUGCCCUAGAAACAUUAGAUUUAGUUUCUGAGAGAUAGGAAGAGUAACAUCUCGUUUAUGCACAGAGGGAAUAUUCUUGAUGAUUUUUAAUGCCUAGUUUCCAAGCAUUCAUCAUCUAUUCAUUCUUUCAUUCAAGAAAAAUUCCUGUGCCUGUGGAAUCAAAGUUCACACUGGGAUUGUCAAUGAUCCUCAUCCUGCUGAUAAAAAUAUGCAGGAACCUCAAUAAUGUUUCUGUAAGCCCUUUGCAAGUUAGGGAUGUAGCUAGGACUAACAGCUAUCUCUUUUUUUCCACCUCCACCUGCUAAUCAAUUUUUUGCAUUCCUCUCGAGCAUAGAAUCACAGGAUGCUGAGACCAAAAGAUGUGUUUAAUUGUGCUACUAGCAUGAGGUGACAAUUCUUUGGAUAAAUGGAAGGGUACUAUGUUGCAAUAGGGGUCAAAAUUGCAGUUUAGAAGUGGUUUCACAGUCAAUCACACAUUGAGGGACGUGAAGUUGUAUGUGUUUGUGUUAGGAGGUGAUGGUGGUUAGUAACUUUCCUAUUUUUGUAAUUCAGUCCUGUUCUUAUUGUGAAGCAAUUGAGUGCUGUUGAAACUGGGUAGUUAUCUCAACUUCACACAAUGUUUUAACAUUUGAAACAGGUGUGUUCAAUGAAUAUUCUCAUUUACAGCUAUUUCCAUGCCCUUUAUAAAUACCUCUCCCCCCAAAUUAGGCACUGCAUUUUCUCAUGGUAGAUAGGCAAAGUUUAAACUUCCCUACUUAAUACUUAUUCCAUUUAUUCUGAACCAACCAGUGGAAUCCAUGUCACUUUCAGAAAACUGCAAUCCAGUUGUAUGUCAGUUCCUUGAAUGAACCAUAAGAUUUCUGGAUGAAGAGCCUUUUUUCUUUUUUUUUUUAAUCCCCCAUUGUCUCAGUCCUGAAAUAUCUUGCUGGUCUCUGCUCUGAUUGUCAAAGGGCUGUUUAUUUACUGAGGUUCAGCUCUCAGGUUCCAUGAAGACUUGCCUCAAGAGCCCUAGCUGAGGUCACACCUGUGCAUAGCCACGAAAAGUGGUCUGUAUGUUUACACAGAGUUAUUCUCCCACUCAUCAUGUAUUUUUAUUUCCCAUUAGAAGCCAAAUUCCAAAAUGCAGGCAUCAUGUCUUAUUUCUAUACCCACCCCCCAAAAUUAACAUACUAGAUCCCUCUAAACCUUGCUUUCAGCUCAAGUAAACUUUAAAAGAAUAGUAGAUAAUAAGUAUAUUCUAGAAAUGUGGCCUUGUCAUUAGGUAAUAUUGUCUAAUUAAACAGUAAACUUCUGAAAACAAAACGUCUUUGUAACCAUCUGGAUUUUUGCAAUUCUGGUACAAAGUUAUAGGCUCCAUAAACUGUAAUUAAUUUACCCAAGAGAAUGAAAAGGGGAAGUUAGGAAGCUAUGAUAGUCCAUUAACGUUAGGGAGAGGAACAGACACCUGGUUUCACUUGGUCUUUCUGCCCCUGACCUCCUUGCUUUUUUGUCAUAACUAUAACCACAUUUAGGCACUUCCUUUUGGUAAGUUAUUUUACUCUUUCUCUUCAAUUUUUGAAAAUCUCAUUUUUAUGACUUACCUUUUUUGUUUGCUUUCAUUUUUAUUCUGAAUUUUUGAAAGCCACUGACUUAGCAAGUAUUAAAGUGAACUCAUUUGUGCUCUCAACAUAGUUAUAAAUAGUAAAUUGGGUUCUUAAGUUUCUCUAAAGGUUCUCUGUCUCAAUCACAAUUUCUGAAAACUUAAUCAAAUUUCAAUUAUAGUGAGCUGGAAUCGAUGAGAUAUGACCAGGAAUUAGAGUGAAAGUUUUAUUAGGUGUUAGGAAAUAGCUAAAAUGAGAAUAUUCAUUCUAUAAGGAUAUAGAAAUAAAGCAGAAUAUUGUCCUAUGUAGAGAGGCUUGUGGAACUUGGGGCCCAAAGCUGCUGGCUAGCUCAACGUCUGGUCUUCCCUGUGGUGGAGUCCUUAGCCCUCCUGGUCUUUAAAGAAGGCUUUUAGCUAUAAUCUCAGGUAUGCUUAUGUGUUUAUAACCCAUGAUUCUGUGAAUCUAUUCAGAAGAAUACUUGAAGAUGUGUUAAAGAGAUUAAUGAAUAUGGAUUAGACACAUUGCUGAGAGAAUAGUUCAAAACAUAAAAGAAUAGGCUAAUAAAGAACUAGAAGAUUGGAGGAAAAAGUAUUUUAAAUACUUUUAAGACCAUGUGCUUAGCCUUAUCUUUACUAGAAAAGUAAAAAUAUAUAAAUUGCUUAACUCGACAGAAACUUUGCCUAUUUUAUUUUGUUUCACUACAUCAAGAAGUUAGAACCAUAAUAAAAUAUUCAGUGAUUUAUACACAUAUCAUACAUAUAUCAGUUACAUGAUGUAAAUGAUGUAAAAGUAUUUUUUUUAAUUAUUGUAAAUGCAUACCGUAUCUCAUGUCCCUUAUGCAUGGGACUCUGAGAAUUAAUAGUUAAAAUUCUAUUAUUGAUUAAGUCUUGUCAUUAUGAACAUAUUAGUCUGUAUCAUAUAGCAUGUUUUGUCCUCUGAAGUGAAAAUGGAAUUGGAAGAAUUAGGUAUAAAAUGAGCUAAAUUUUAGAUCUUGAUAUAUCUAUUUUGUCUGCUUAGAAAAGAUUUCUUUCUCAUAUAACUUGGUUCUCAGGUAUUAUUUUGAAUAUAGAGGUUACAGGGUAAAUAUAUUUAUGAUAAGUUAAUGAUAACUUAUUCAACAACAUAGAAAACUUUAAAAAUGUUUCUGGCUGCAGAUUUUAUAUACACUUGACAAUUGCUAGCUGGAGAUUCAUAGAUUACAUAGAAAAAAGGCCUAUUUUCAGGGAAAAGCUCUUUCCCCCAAAGGGAGGCAUGUUUGCAGUAUGUUGGGCCAGCAUGCAGAGAUUCCCAGAGUUGGAGCCCUGCUCCUCCUUCCUGUUGGAGAAUAAAAAGUUCUGGGUAACUAGGAACAUCUUGUCUUCAGAUGAUUAUUUUGAGUUGCAUGUCUUCUACAAAGAAAACGGGGAAAAACUUGCAAGGCAGCAUUAAGGCCAUUGAAAAACUAAGAAAUAAAAUUCCUAAUUUCAGGUAUUUUAGGCAUAUGAUUGUUUACAAAAAUUCUUCUUCUUGGGGCUGGAGCUGUAGCUCAGUGGCAGAGCACUUGCCUAGCAUGAGUGAGGCUCUGGGUUCAAUCCUCAUCACUACAUAAAAAAAUAAACAAAUGAAAUAAAGGCAGUCUGUCCAUCUACAACUAUAAAAAACUUUUUAAAAAUUCUUCUUCAUUUAAUGGUUUAAGAGUUGCUCAAGAAGUAAUACAGACUAAUGGCUAAUGAGUUCUAGAACAAGAAACUACAGUAUGACUUUAAAUCUUAAUUCUCUGAAUUUUUAGCAUGUUACUAUAGACAAGUUCUUUAUCACCUCAGUCUCCUCAUUUGUAAAACAUAUAUACUAAUAUAUAGUAUUUUUGUUGUGAAGAUGAAAUGAUUUUCUGUAAAUCCAGUAUUAAAAAUAUUAAAUAAAGAUCUUUGUUAUGUGACUAUUAUAUACAAGACACUGGGCUAGUGAGGGUCAGUUCCUUGGAUAUAUUACCUAGAAAAAUGAUAUAAUUAAGCUUGAGAAAUUUUUGGUAGAAAUGGUGGAAGUGGCAUAUAUAUGGUGGUUGAGAAGAACAGAUUUGAUUUUAAUUCUGUCUUUAUCUUUUAGGGGAGGAGUCAUGUAAAGAACAACUUUCCGUGAAGAGACAUUCAGCAUACCAUGCCCCGGCAGGAAGUUCCUUUAAAAUGGAAUGCCCUGUCAAAUACUGUGCUAAGAGACCCAAUAUGACUUGGUGCAAAUUCAAUGGAACACAGUGUUUCCAACUUGGAGAUAGACUUCAGCCACACACAAGUUGGGAAGAAAGGCAGAAUAUUUCAGUAUUUUUUCUACAUUUUGAACCAGUGCUUCCUAGCGACAAUGGCUCAUAUAGCUGUCAUGCGCAUUUUCAGUCUUUUGUCUCUCCAAGUCAUUCAAUAACCCUUUAUGUGACAGGUGAGUUCUCAACCCCCAGACCAUCUAAUGUUUUUCUCAUCAUAUUUCCAGGCAACUGAAGAUCUGGGUUUUCUUAAGUGAGUAGGUUAGAAACUGAACGCCUGCAUCACCUCAGAAGUCUGCCACACCUCACAGAGUGUGAGAUCCAGGAGUGCAUGGGUGUCUGCAUGUAUGUGGGUGUGUGCGUGUGAAGUGAGUUGGGGAAGAGUAAGAAAAGUACAAUGAAAGUUUUUGUUUUUGCACUUAUGGAUUAUAUCAUUUACUUGGUAAGUCCAGAAGUAGAUUAUUGAAACAGUGAAAAAAAAAAAUGUCAAGGUGAAUACCAGUGAUUACAGAUAGUUCUUUAUUGUUUGUCCUUGCUUUCUUUUUCUUUUCUUUUUUUUCUUCCAGUUUUCUGUUUUUGACUUUGUCGAUUAUAAUUAAUGCAAGUUAUAUUUGUGGUGCUCCGAUAAAUACACGCUUAUUAAUGUUCACAGGGCAAACUGACACAAGUAGCUUGACUCUGAUGAGUUUUGGGGACUGUGCAGGGCUUCAGCUGACUCCCCACUUCCUCCCCAGAGGCCUUUAAAUAGCUGUAACAGCUGAGGGAGAACAGGUGAAGAUUAAGCUGUGGAAAACCCAACUGAACAAAGGAGAGGGAAAAAAAAUAUAUAUAUAGGGAGGAGGAAAGGAGAGUAAAAUUAUUUUUGAUUUGUGAAAAUCCCACAGAAAACAGCUUAUCCAGUGGUGGGAGAUGGAAUUCUUGUCCCCUAAGAUCAGGAACAAAACAAGGAUGCCUGCUUCUGCCAUUUCCAUUCAACAGUGAACUGGGAGUUUGAGCCAGAACAAUUUAGCAUGAAUGAAAAAUAAAAGGCAUCUAAAUUUGAAUGGAAGAAGUAAAACAGUCUGUUCAAAGACAGCAUGACCUUUUAUACAGAUAAAUGCUAUAAAAUUCAUAAAAAAGUAUUAAGAUUAACACUCAAAUUUAGCAAAUUUAUAGGAUACAGGAUGAACAUAUAAAAAUCAGUGGUAUUUCUAUAACACCAGUAAAGAAUAAUCUGAAAAGGAAAUUAAGGGGAAAUUUUUCAUUUAUAAUAACAUCAAAAAGUAAAACACUUAGAAAUAAAUUUAAUCAAGGAGAUAAAAGUCUUGCAAACUGAGCAAAAAAAGUCUGACUAAAAUAAAUUUAAGAUGUAAAUAAGUGUAAACACCUCCCAUCAUCAUGGUUUAGAAGAAUCACUGUUGUAAAAAUUAUAAUAUUCCCCAAGAUGGUCUAGAGAGUCAAUGUAAUCCCGUUCAAAAUCCCAACAGCUGUUUUUUCCUAUGAAUUUUUAGAAUCAGAUUUUCAUAGGAAAUUGUGAUAGACCUGGAAUAGCCAAAACAAUCUUGAAAAGUAGCAAAGCAGGAGGCAUCACAUACCUGAUCUCAAGACAUACCACAGAGACACAGUAACAAAGAAAGACAGCAUGCUACUGAUCAAACAGGCACAAAGAUCAGUGGAGCAGACCAGAGGACCCAAACACAUCUUCAGCCAACUGAUUUUAUUUUAUUUUAUUGGUACCAGGGAUUGAACUCAGGGGCACUAGCCACUGAGCCACAUCCCCAGUCCUGUUUUGUAUUUUGUUUAGAGUCAGGGUCUCACUGAGUUGCUUAGUACCUCAUUUUUGCUGAGGCUGGCUUUGAACUUGAGAUCCUCCUGCUUCAGCUUCCCUAGCCAUUGAGAUUACAGUCACUGCAUCCAGCCCAGUCAACUAAUUUUUGAUAAAGGUGCCAAAAAAAUACAUUACAGGAAGGACAGCCUCUUUACCAGAUGGUGCUGGAAAAACUGGAUAUUCACAUGUUGAAAAUUGAAACUUGACUCCUAUCUCACCCUGUACAGAAAUUAACUCAAAAUGAGUCAAAGACCUUAAUCUAAGUCCUGAAUCUUAAAAACUACUAGAAGAGAACAUAGGAGAAACCCUUAAGAUAUUGAUUGGUCCCUAGCAUGCAAGAGGCCCCAGGUUUGAUCCCCAACACUGAACACCACCCAAUAAAAAAACACAAAUGAAUGAUUUGUUUGACACAAUUGUAUACACACAAGCAAAAGAAUAAAUUAAAACCCUUUACCUCACACAAAAUUAAAAAAUGGAUCAGAUAUUUAAAUAUAAGAGCUAAAAUUAUGAAAACUAAAUUUAUAUAAAACUAUAAAUAUGUAUAUAAAACUGUAAACCUUCCUGAUCUUGGAUGUGGUAAUAGUUUUCUAGAUAAAAUUACAAAAAAAGUAGACAAAAAAUUAGAUAAGUUUGGCUUCAUAAAACCUGAAAACUUUUCUGCAUCUAAGGAUACUUUCAAAAGAGUAAAAAUUCAAACCACAGAAUAUGAGAAAAUAUUUGCAAAUUAUAUGUCUGAUAGGAGAUGUUUGCCUAGAAUGUAUAAGAACUACUACAAGCCAACUAUAAACAGAUAAGCAAGGACUUGAGUAGACAUGUUAUCAAAGAAUUUUGUAUACAAAAUGGCCAAUAAGCAUGUGAGAAAAAGCUCAAUAUCAUUUCAUCUUUAGGAACAUGCAAAUCAAAACCACCAUGAAAUACCAUGGCAUACCCACUAGAAUGACAAGAAUUUAAAAAAAAAACAAAAACAAGUGUUGGCAAGGAUGUGGAGAAGUGGAACCACUUUUACCUUGCUUGUGGUGGUAAUAUAAAUUGGCACAGCUAAUUUGGAAAACAGUCUAGCAGUUCUUCAGAAAGAUAACCUAGUUACCACAUUACCAAGCAAUUGUGUGGCUAGGUAAAUACCCAAGUGGAAUUAAAUAUAUGUCACAAAAAACUUUCACAUGAACAUUUAUAAGCAGCUAUUCACAAUACCGGAGGUGGAAACAACCUAAAUGCUCACCACCUGAUGAAUGGAAAUGUGGCAUAUCUACACAAAUGGAUAUUAUUGAUCUCUAAAAAGGAAUGAGUACCGAUACAUGCUGCAACCUGGAUAAACCUCAGAAACGUUCUGCUAAGGAAAAGAAGUCAGACCCAAAAGCAUUUCCUGUUAAACUCUGUGCCCUGAGGGGUUUUAUUAGUUUUAUACUGGAAAAUAAAAGUGUGGAGGUGAGGCCCGCAAGACCCAAAGAGUUAAAUUGAAGACAGGAAGGGGCUGGUUUCUUUUGGAGGAUUUCUACCCUCCCAGGUUUGUCUCUUCCCUGCUCCUCCCUUCCUUAUUGCUCUCUUUCAUUUCACUUGGUCAAUCAAGGCUUCUGGUCCACACCAGGUAUUCCCCACCACUUGGCUUUGGCCUUCUGCUCCUGUUUGUCAAGAGAAUCUUCUGCUCUGUGAUGUGUUCUCUUUACAGCUUCUAAGAGCAUCUCAGACCUUCAUUAUUUUCCUUCUAAAUGACUCCAAUUAAUGGUACUAUUGGACUUCUUGUCCUUAGUGUUUCCCAUUUUGGUCAUUUUGGCCCAAAAUCUCCCUAAAAUACUUAAUACACCUGAUACAUUUCUUGUCCCCUGGAGAGCAUCCUCAGUGCUUGCAGAAUUGGGCUUACGUUUGUUCACCGUCACUCAAGGUCUUCCUCAGCUCAUCCCUACCUUUGUGGAUUGUUUCUGGAUUCCACGUAGAACCUCUCCACUCAGCCCAGCUGCCCCACUUGCCAUGGCUCUACACUUACCAUGAACCCUCUUAUGCCAUUGUCACCGCUCACAGGGCAUUCAUUCACCUAUCUUUACCUAUCAAAGCUUCAGCCCGCCAUUCAAUUCCAGCUCAUUACCUAAGUUUUCAAGGAAGCCUUCCACGAUUGCUUUAGGGGAUGCAAUUUCUCUUUUCUACCAAUCCUUAUUCAAUUUAAGCCUGUCUCUCUCUCUCUCUCUCUCUCUCUCUCUCUCUCUCUCUCUCUCUCUCUCUCUUUUAACAUAUUUUCUUUCACAAUAGUAAUGUAUGGAAAUGCUCUCAAGUUCCAUGAGAGAGUAUAAUGUCCUGGAAGGUAGAAAUUGUGUCAUAUUUCUUUGGGUUAUCUGAUUCCUUCACAAAAGUCAAAUAAAUUAUUUUGAAAUUAUUUUAAUUUAAACUGAGUGUGAAUUCUACUUUAAUGAAAUGGUGAAAACAAAGGUAAUAGGGCAAGGGUUAAGAAAAUUUUUUUCCUAUUGAAAAUGAGAGGACUCAAUAAAGUAAAUAUGAAGUGAGGGAAAAAUGUGCCCUGGAAUUAUGUUUAACAACUAUGCUUUAAUAAAUACAUUUUGGAGGUAUGACAAAACUAUUUAAUUGUUCCCCCUUGAAAUAUCUUUCUGAAGGGUUAUUGGGCAUUUUCUUGUUUUUGUGUCUGACUCUCCUUUUCUUUUUAUGUUCAGAGUGGGUUCAUGUAAGAACAGGCUUGUGACAAAGUGGGGAAUUGGAUUCUCUUGGGAAAGCAGUAUUCUCCCAAAAUGAAGAAAAGCAACUUUGUAAAGCAAAGCAAAGUCCCAAGAGGAAAGUUGAUUGAGCUGGGAAACAGUCAGGGGAACAUACAUUGGUCUAGAAGUCUGUUCUCCUCAGACUGUCCCUGGUCAGUCCUGAUGAGAAACUUCACAAAUGCAGGGUGAUUAUUAUCUGAGAAAGAAAGUGGUGUGGAGUGAGAAGGAAGAGAGUGAAAGGCACAGUCUUUGUUUCAGAAUGAGCACCCAGAAUGUCUCCCAAAGCAUCCUUUCCUUAUGGCCUUCCAUACUCAACUUGGAGCACUUGCUGGUGUGUCUUGUUAUUGCAGGUUCUAGAGGUGCUUACAUGGGCUGUUCUGUAUCCAUAUACCUAAGGAAUGUGGAAGAGGGAAUCAAAGCAGACAGAUGAGUGUCACCUUGUAUUUGCAGAGUUUUUUGAGUCUGAAACUAACUUAGGAAUUUACUUUAUUUCAUGAUUUUAUAGUGAUGAUACAUGAAUCAUGCAAACUGGCCUUGAAGUGGAUCAUUGGAUUCUCUGUUAGUAUGCAAUUACCACAGUCUUCUCCAAAGUUAGCUUUGAUUUUAGACAUCCCUGAGAAUAUACUCAUUGUUUUCUCAAUUUCAAUUCUUCAUCCUAUUUCUGUAUUUCAGAACAGACCAGAAAUAAUUCAGAACAACCUCAAAUAAGUAAGUAUAAAACUAAUCAAAUAAAAUUAACAAGUUUGUGUGAUGGGUGGAAAAAUAAUAGAAGUUGGGUCUUCUUAGUCUAGUGGAUUUGUUUGUAUUAGAUUAUCUGUUGUUUGUUAUCCAAAUCCCUCCCCGAGACAGCUGUCUCCCACUCCUGCAAUGACUUGGCUGCCUGCCCAAUUUCAACAGCAGCUGCAGCAGGAACAGUGCUACAUUUGUUUCCACUCUUCUGAAUUACCAAACUAUAGAACAUAUAGUCUACUAUAUGUCCACCCCCAGUAUGGUGAAGAGGUGUCUUGUGUAAUAUAGGGUGUUUAGCCUGUGCUCAUUAUAUGCCAGUCCCAUUCCAACUUUGUCACAACCAGAAACAUUUCCAGACAUUGCCACUUGUGUCCUAGGGGAGAAAUUGUCCUGCUUGAGAAUCACUACUGUGUGUGAUCCAUUCCAAUGUAUUCUGUUGUGCUCUGCUUCAUUUUCCAGAAAUGAAUUUGUGAUCUACUAAAUUGUUCUAUAAUCUGCUAACAAGUUUCAAACUACCCUGGACAAGUGGCCUUAAUGUUUGUUAACACCUAUAAAUAAUAAUGAGCAUCAGCUAUAUGCCAUGCAAAGCAUAUUUGAGGAAGCCAAAAGUAUUCUGUAUUUGGAGAUAACAGUGAGUUAUGAAACAAAGAAAAGGCACUGUGUUGAAGGGAAGUGAAUUUAGUAUCUGAAACAUGUUAGUUCACUGGCUGUCUUAUUUUGGGGUAACUCCUGGAAUUAUUAUUAUUAUACUCAAGUCACAGAAUUGAAUAAAGCUAAAGCCUUCUCUAAUUUCCUUAAAUAGUGCAUAUGAAUGGAAACUUUGAUACUGUAAAGGGAAGGGCUUGGUGAAAUACUUUCUGAGAGCUGUUAUGAAGAUUGUUCUACAGAAGAUUAACCCUAGCAGAAUAAAAAAAAAAUGCAAAAGAUUAAGCCAAGUACUGAGGCCUAUUUUUUUAGGAGAGACCUCCGGAGGAGAAAUAGAAGCAUCUGAUGAUGCAGAGGUAUGUUGCUGAACCUAAUAUAGCUCUGACUUCCUAAAUGUCUUUAGCACUGACUAACAUUCCAGAUGCACCAACUGCCUCAGGACCACCCUCCAAGGAAGAGGUGGCAGACAAGCCGUGGCUCCUCUACAGUCUGCUUCCUGUGGGAGGAUUGUCUCUCCUCAUCAUUGCCUGUUUCUGCUUGUUCUGCUACCUAAAAAGGCAUCAAGGUGGGUUCCAUUUUCCUUCUGCCCCUCUGGGGUUCUGUUUUCCAGGAUGAUAGAUUUUCCAUUGGUUCCUGUUUUUUUUUUUCCUGAUCUAUGAUAAACCAUGGAGAAGGAGUUCCUGGGGGGAUUCCUCAUAUUUUCACCAAAAAGCCAAGUGGGUCCAUUUGGGCUCCCUCUUGUCAUAGUGAGGCACCUGCAUUACAGAAAAGUGCACAGCCCAGGAUUGUGGCCAGAAGGCCAUGUUGCUGAGACAUUCUCUAUUGGCAUCAGUCUUAUGCUCAUAUGAGAAAGAAUUCUUCUAAACUUUGAGUUGAAAGUGGGGUUGAAAUAAUUUCUCAGUGAACAAGUCUGCGUUGAGUUGUUUUGUCUCAUCUUUUUACACCUAUAAUGCAUCAUCCCAGUCACACAGUCUUGUCUAAAGAACCAUUAUCCUCGGCAGGAAUUCAUAUGUGUGUCCUUUCUAUUGCCAUCAAGAACACACAACUGAACUGAUUGCACUCAGUCCUCACUCAAAAAUAAUGUGUUUGAAAAAUGUGGGUUUGGUGAAAAUGGGAGAGGUGUGGUGUUUUGAGAACAAUUCCUUGUUUUGUUUUGAAAACAUUCUGUCAGGGUCACCACCAAAUACUUAAACCCAGUAAGAGAGGAAUGCAUUGAGAAUUCUGAUUAACUCUGAUCUUGUCACCUCAGUUUUCUCUUUUUUUUUCUUUUCCUUCAUGUCUCCCUAUUCAUUUUCCUACAACAUCAGCUAUAGUGUAGGUAUAGAAACUAAGCCAGACAGACCACCCCUGAUUCCAUUGCCACAAAAGAAAGAUUUAUCUGGUUGAAGUGCUUCCAGUGAGGAAUUCUGAAGCCCAGAACCUUCUUACAAUUCUGAGGAAUCUUCUGUAAUCCCACCUUUGCAUCUGCAACUCCAUAGAUCUUUCCUUGUCUCUCUAUAUAUUCCAUCAUUUUUCUUGAGGCUACUAUAACUUCUCUCAGAACUUCAGAAAAAAGAGGAAGGCAUAAUUUUUUAAAAUUCAUUUAUCAGUUUAUUUUUAUUAUUUGCAGUAUUGGGAAUUGAACCCAGGGUGUCACUCUACUGGGAGAUACAUCCUCAGCCCAUUUACUAUGUUUAAUUUUAUUUGAGACAAGGUCUCACUAGGUUCUCCAGACUGACUUUGUGAUCCUCCUAUAUCAGACUCCCGAGUAGCUGGAAUUACAGACAGGUGUGGGACAAAUCUUGAUUUGCCACAUCAAAGUGAACUGAGUAACAGGAGAUACUGGCUAUGCAGGUUACAGGACAGGAGCAUUUCUGGGAUUGCAUAUGGGAUAUACUCCGAGCAAGGGCUUCUAACCUUUUCAAAGUGAAGUUGCUAGAUCCUGCCCCUUCCUCUUGGAUAUGCCAUAGGCCAUGUGGUGUCAGUAGGGCUGGAAGGGAAAUGGGUAAUGUGAAUUCUCAUCCACUGGGUCCUGUACAGCAUGCUAGCCAAGGCGAAUAUACAAGCCCAAACAUAUGACAUCAUUGCUAGUAUGCAACAGGAUGGGCGUGGGGGGAGGUGGUUUACCUCUGCUUUCUUUCCUCCUUUUGAUUAAUCUUUUUUUUUUUUUUUUUUUUACUUUUAUCUUCCAGGGAAACAAAAGAAGCCUUCUGAUAUAGAAGGAAGGGAAAUUAACCUGGUAUGUUUAAUGUAUCUGUUAUGAUAAAUGUGACUUGUAUUAUGUCAUCUUUUUUCAAUAAGUUUGCAUAACACCAAGGGCCACCCACUUUUUUUUUCAAUACAUCAAAGACUCUUUGGGAAUAACAAGUCUCAUAAUAAGUGUUUCUUUGAUAUGGAAGCAGUCCAGAAUAGAAACAGGAAAGUCAGAGACGGACCCACAUAACUUUGGCUCAGCUCUGGUCUAUUAUGUGGCUUUGGGCUCUUCAUUCAUUCUUACAAAAACACCUUGAAGUCUUUCUGGAAGAGAGUAGAGAGUUAAUGAAAAAAUGAACCCAUAAAUAACCAUAAUUCUAGGUUAAUUAUCACAAUAAAUUAUAACUGCAUUAUAAUAACUAGAUUUUUUUCAUAAACAUACCAGUAGGUAAAGAGGCAUGAUUCCAGGCUAAAUGAUUAUGCCAAAGUCCAUGGUCAGGUGUGUGGGCUCAUUAAGGAAAGGAAGAGAGAGCCAGACAAAGUAAAGGGCUUUUGGAAAGCAAUUGUUCCUGGAAGAUUUGGAGAAUAAAUUUAGGUCUUUCUUUUGGAUCCAAAGUUGUGAAGAUAUUGGAACGAAAGAGAGAAUGCAAGAUAAAGUAAUGUAUUUGUGGGGGAAAAAAUGAAGCUCCUUAAUUAAAAUAGGCAUAAAUGAGGUAGUUGAUGUGUAUGUGUGUGUGUGUGUGUGUGUGUGUGUGUGUGUGUAUUUCAGUAAGGAAAAUUAGAGACAAAUAAGCAGUAAGCAUCUUGAAAGUUCCAGAAAUGCCAGAGACAGAUACAACCAAUAAUUCUACAUGUAAUAUUAAAUAGUAUUCAACAUUUCCCACCUAAGCUGUCAAAUUUUAUUGUAUUUUCCCCCUAUUUUUAUUCCAUUAUAAUUACACAUAAUGGUGGGGUUCAUUAUUAUGCAUUUGUUCUUGUGCACGAUAAAACAAUAUAACAAUAUCAUUUGGUCAAUAUAAUUUCCUAGUUUCCUCUGCCCCUUUUUCCUCCCCCUAGUCCCUUUUCUCUAUUCUACUGAUGUCACUUCCAUGUUCAUGACAUCCCCUCCCCUCCCCUUUCUUUUCCUUUUUCCGCCCUAGCCUCCAUAUGCGAGAGAAAACAUAUAAUCUUGAUAUUAUGAGUUUGGUUUAUUUUGCUUAACAUAAUGUUCUCAAGUUCCAUGCAUUUUCCUGCAAAUUGGAUAAUUUCAUUCUUUUUUAUGGCUGAAUUUUAUGGAGAAUCAAAUGCAUUCACCUUGAUAAACUUGUAUUAAGUUUUUAAUAAGCACUAGUAGGCACUAUGUUUGGUGCUAAAGCUUUAUUUUCUCAAAUAGGGAAAGGUUCUUAAAUAUUAUUUCCUAUAUUUCUAAGUAAACAACAAGAAAAAUACAGCAUUCUGUCAUAGUCAGGCCUGAAACUAUUUAAAAUAAUAAUCUAAAUAAUAUACCAUGCAAGGAAAACCCAGACUCAUUAGAAUGUGGUCAUAUUUUUUCCUGUGUAAGCUGGUGUUUAUUAUGACUUGAAGUUGAAUUUAAAAGGGGGAACACAUAGUUCAGCAUUCUUUGCAGGUGAAAACUUGAACAAACCUGGUGAGGGGAAUUGACUCAAAUCAGAGCAGUUACAAAGUUUGCAAGUCCAUUGCCAUACCAAGGAAAGACUGGUAACUCUGGACUCUUUGAAGGCCCAUUGGAUAUUUACAAAGUACCAAAGAUUACUUAAUUUUCAGUUUUUGUGGCAAUGUGCAGCAACUUAUCCGUAUCAACAACCUCUAAGGUAUGAAAGAAUUUUUGCCUUCUCUUUGUUCAUUCUAUAGCAAUUUUGACUUUAUCAGUACAUAUAAAAAACUGAUGAUAUUCUGGAUUUAUUCCAAAAUGGUCCUUAGCAUAAAAGUGAUUAUACACUUAAAAGUCGAAUGCUAUGGUAUGUGCAUUUUAACAUUUUGGGGGGCUGGGUAGCAUUAGCAGGAAUUGAACCCCAAGCACUUAAUCACUGAACCACAUCCCCAGCCCUUUUUAUAUUUUAUUUUGAAACAGGGUCUUUCCAAGUUGCUUAGGGCCUUACUAAGUUGCUGUGCUGGCUUUGAACUUGAGAUCUGCUUCAGAACUUCCAAGCUGUUGGGAUUACAGGCAUGCACCACUGUGCCCAGCUCAAUAUGCAUUUUUAAAAGCAUAUUAUAAACCAUAAUGUGCCAUAAGUAUGUAAGUGGGAUUGCUGCUUCUGUCUUUAUCAACUCUUUCCACCACAUCAUGGGGCGAGAUCCUUGUGACACUGAUUGUUUUAAUGGAAUAUUACAAGGGAGUUUCAGAGAUGGAGUACCAAGUUCACCCUAAUAACAUUCUCCAUGGUGAUGGACCAUCUUUUGAGAAGAGGGCGAGGUAACUAACUGACAGAUUCAUAGAGAUUGAAAAGUAUUAACAGGAGCCAUGCUGAAGUAUUGAGGAUUUGUGACUAUUUAUCAGGUUACUUGACAGUCUUCAGUCUACUGAAUCUACUGACUUUGACCAGGCUUCUUUGUUUGGAGAUGGGGACAUUUUCUGUCUUACUCCAGCAACCUCUGCCCCUGUCACUAUCCAGCCUCAGUGUUAAUUCAGAGUGGUCACCUCAUUAGGUGAAGCAGUUAUUACCUUGUUUCUCAGGAUAGGGCCAGAUACUCAUGCAUGAUUAAACUCUUUGAAGGAGAUAUAAUAUGCAUCCUACUGUUCACAUCACGAUGAGAAUUACAAAGGACUAAAUAAGGUAUGUUGAUUAUAAAGUUUACAGACUUGAUAAAAGAGUUAGGCCAAACAUCAAAAAUACAAAUUGACUGGCAAAAUCAAGAUUUAAAAAAAAUUGAAAUAAUAACCCCUUUCAUUAACAUGUCAUUUUCAUUUUUACCAGAUAGAUUCUUUGUAUAGCUAGAAAUGGCUAACAAAUAAGUGAAAAGAGUGAGGAGAUAUCAUUACUCUUUUUAGUUUUAGUUUCCACAAACUCACCUCUUUAUCAGAAACUCUAAGAUAUUUGACAUUCUUUGAACCCCAAGGACUGAAUCAGUGAACCACAUCCCCAGCCCUUUUUAUAUUUUAUUUUGAAACAGCGUUUUGCCAAGUUGCUUAGGACCUUACUAAGUGGCUGUGCUGGCUUUGAACUUGAGAUCUGCUUCAGAACUCCCAAGCUGUUGGAAUUACAGGCAUGCACCACUGUGCCCAGCUCAAUAUGCAUUUUUAAAAGUAUAUUAUAAACCAUAAUGUGCCAUAAGUAUGUAAGUGGGAUUGCUGCUUCUGUCUUUAUCAACUCUUUCCACCACAUCAUGGGGCGAGAUCUUUGUGGCACUGAUUGUAUAAGAACUUUCUUGUGAUAGAAAUAACAACUGGAAUAAUAUUUCAGAACUUUAUCUAAACUUUAUCCCUCUAAAACUGACAUCAAUUUUCCAACUCCAGGUCUCAGAUCAUAAUAAUUUAUCUUGGAUAUCUCAUAAUAUUUAUUCUUUUGGCCCCCAUCAGGAGGUCACUAUUCUGCUUUAUUUAUGAAUCUUUUUAUUCUAUACUACAUUAAUACUUCCCAUUGGAUUAUGAAAUACCUGAAGUUUUCAUGAGUCAGUUUAUGUUUUUCCCAUUAAUUUGGGCUAAACUUUUAUGUUGAAUGGAAUUGAAAGUGUUCUAUGAUUUCAAAAGUGACCCAUAAUAAAGCACCAAAUAACCACUUGGUAGGAACAUAAUAGUCCUCAAAAUUUAUCCCUUAAGAACCAAGAAUUUGCCAAAAGUGUAGAUAUUAUCAGCCUAUGUGAGGAAAAGUAGAUUAUUUCUCUCAAGGAAGAUGACACCAUUUAGCCUUUUGCUCACAGUUUGCUAAUGAGGGCAUAUUAUCAUUCAGUGGUGCACUUUUUUUUUUUUUUCUCUUUUAGGUGGAUGUCUCUCAGCCCUUGAGGAGUGAACAAGCUGAAGUGAGCAUCAGAGAAAAUUCCCAAACUCUGCUAUCCCAAACUCAAAUUUACGAUAACGACUCCUUGUUCAGGAUAAGAGAAGGCUCUGAAGUUU
rnacentral:lncRNA from 1 species